rnacentral:misc_RNA from 1 species
GUGAAUCAUCGAAUCUUUGAACGCACAUUGCACCCCUUGGUAUUCCAGGGGGUAUGCCUGUUCGAGCGUCAUGAAAAAACAUCAAGCACCGCUUGGCAUUGGGCAUCACCUCCGGUGUGCCUCAAAAUCAGUGGCGGCGCCGAUCGGCUUCAAGCGUAGUAAAAUUCUCGCUAUCGGAGCCGGUUGCGGUACCUGCCAAAAGCACCCCAAUUUAAUGUUUGACCUCGGAUCAGGUAGGGAUACCCGCUGAACUUAAGCAUAUCAAUAAGCGGAGGA